UACGUAGGGUGCAAGCGUUGUCCGGAAUUAUUGGGCGUAAAGAGCUCGUAGGCGGUUUGUUGCGUCGGCUGUGAAAACCCGGGGCUCAACUCCGGGCCUGCAGCCGAUACGGGCAGACUAGAGUUCGGCAGGGGAGACUGGAAUUCCUGGUGUAGCGGUGAAAUGCGCAGAUAUCAGGAGGAACACCGGUGGCGAAGGCGGAUCUCUGGGCCUUACCUGACGCUGAGGCGCGAAAGCUAGGGGAGCGAACAGG
rnacentral:rRNA from 1 species